rnacentral:rRNA from 1 species
UCUGGUUGAUCCCGCCGGAGACUACUGUUAUCAGGUUUCGACUAAGGCAUGCGAGUCUAUGUGCAAACAUGGCGAACUGCUCAGUAACACGUAGUUAACCUGCCCUAAAGUGGAGGAUAUUCCCGGGAAACUGGGCGUAAUACUCCAUAGGUGAUAAUAGCUGGAAAGCUUCUUCACUUAAAGCUUCGGCGCUUUAGGAUGGAACUGCGGGCGAUUAGCUUGUUGUUGAGGUAAACGCUCAACAAGGCAUUGAUCGCUACGGGUCAUGAGAGUGAUAGCCCGGAGAUGGCUUCUGAGACAUUAAGCCAGGCUCUACGGAGUGCAGCAGUCGCGAAACCUUCACAAUGCUCGAAAGAGUGAUGAGGGAAACUUGAGUGAUCUCGCUUAAAGCGAGUUCUUUUGCCUUCUCUAAAACGGAAGGUGAAUAAGUGGUGGGCAAUACGGUUGCCAGCCGCCGCGGUAAUAACCGAGCCACGAAUGGUAGUCACGUUUAUUGGGCCUGAAGCAUCCGUAGUCGGUCCAACAAGUCUUUGGUUAAAUCUGCUAGAAAACUAGCAGGCACGCUAGAGAUACUGUAGGACUUGAAGCCGGGAGAGGUCGAGGGUACGUUAUGUGUAAGGGUAAAAUCUUCUGAUCCAUAACGGACCACCUGUGGCGUCCUUUUUUUCCGUGCCACAGCAUGGACAAAAUGAGGCCAUAAAAGGCGCUCGACUGGAACGGUCUUGACGAUGAGGGAUGAAAGCUUGGGGAGCGACCUGGAUUAGAUACCCAGUUAGUCCAAGCCGUAAACGAUGCCCGUUUGGUGUUGCAUAUCUCUUGUGGAUAUGCAGUGCCGUAGUGAAGAUGUUUAACGGGCCGCCUGGGGAGUACGUUCGCAAGGAUGAAACUUAAGGGAAUUGGCGGGGGAGCACACAAGAAGUGGAUGCUGCGGUUUAAUUCGAUUCAACGCGAGGAAUCUUACCAUGGAAGACAGCAGAAUGAAGGUCAGCCUAAAGGGCUUACCAGACAAGCUGAGAAGAGCUGCAUGGCCGUCGUCAGCUCGUGCCUUGAGGUGUCCUGUUAAGUCAGGAAACGAGCGAGACCUACACCAAUAGUUGCCAUCUAUCUCUCCGGAGAUAGAGCACUCUAU